GGAGAGGUGCCGGAGUGGUUGAACGGGGCGGUCUCGAAAACCGUUGUGGCCCUCGUGGCCACCGUGGGUUCGAAUCCCACCCUCUCCGCCA
rnacentral:tRNA from 1 species